CAAAGCGAAACUGCGAAUGGCUCAUUAUAUAAGUUAUCGUUUAUUUGAUAGUACCUUACUACAUGGAUAACCGUGGUAAUUCUAGAGCUAAUACAUGCUGAAAAUCCCGACUUCGGAAGGGAUGUAUUUAUUAGAUACAAAACCAAUGCCCUUCGGGGCUCUCUUGGUGAUUCAUGAUAACUUCUCGAAUCGCACGGCCCCGCGCCGGCGAUGGUUCAUUCAAAUUUCUUCCCUAUCAACUUUCGAUGCUACGGUAGUGUCCUAGCAUGGUUGCAACGGGUGACGGAGGGUUAGGGCUCGACCCCGGAGAAGGAGCCUGAGAAACGGCUACUACAUCCAAGGAAGGCAGCAGGCGCGCAAAUUACCCAAUCCCGACUCGGGGAGGUAGUGACGAUAAAUACCGAUACAGGGCUCUUUUGGGUCCUGUAAUUGGAAUGAGUACAAUUCAAAUCCCUUAACGAGGAACAAUUGGAGGGCAAGUCUGGUGCCAGCAGCCGCGGUAAUUCCAGCUCCAAUAGCGUAUAUUAAAGUUGUUGUGGUUAAAAAGCUCGUAGUAGAAGCUCGGGCUCCGGCCGACCGGUCCGCCUCACCGCGUGCACUGGUUCGGCCGGGCCUUCACCUUCUGCGGAACCGCAUCCCCUUCACUGGGGGUGUCGGGGAAACAGGACGUUUACUUUGAAAAAAUUAGAGUGCUCCAGGCAGGCCUAUGCUCGAAUAGAUUAGCAUGGAAUAAUGGAAUAGGACGUGUGGUUCUAUUUCGUUGGUUUCUAGGACCGCCGUAAUGAUUAAUAGGGACAGUCGGGGGCAUCAGUAUUCAAUCGUCAGAGGUGAAAUUCUUGGAUCGAUUGAAGACUAACUACUGCGAAAGCAUUU
rnacentral:rRNA from 1 species